CUACGGGACGCUGCAGUGGGGAAUAUUGCACAAUGGGGGAAACCCUGAUGCAGCAACGCCGCGUGGAGGAUGACGCAUUUCGGUGUGUAAACUCCUUUUAUUUAGGAGGAAAUUUGACGGUACUAAAUGAAUAAGCACCGGCUAACUCCGUGCCAGCAGCCGCGGUAAUACGGAGGGUGCAAGCGUUACUCGGAAUCACUGGGCGUAAAGGACGCGUAGGCGGUUUGAUAAGUUGGAUGUGAAAUCCUAUGGCUUAACCAUAGAACUGCAUCCAAAACUGUCAGACUAGAGUGAGGGAGAGGUGAAUGGAAUUAGUGGUGUAGGGGUAAAAUCCGUAGAGAUCACUAGGAAUACUCAUAGCGAAGGCGAUUCACCGGAACUUUACUGACGCUGAGGCGUGAAAGCAUGGGGAGCAAACAGGAUUAGAUACCCUCGUAGUC
rnacentral:rRNA from 1 species